AACUGCGAGUGAAGCGGGAAAAGCUCAAAUUUAAAAUCUGGCGGUUCUUUGGCCGCCCGAGUUGUAAUUUAGAGAAGCGUCUUCCGCGCCGGACCGUGCACAAGUCUCCUGGAAUGGAGCGUCAUAGAGGGUGAGAAUCCCGUCUUUGGCACGGAUGCUUGGUGCUUCUGUGAUGCGCUCUCGAAGAGUCGAGUUGUUUGGGAAUGCAGCUCAAAAUGGGUGGUGAACUCCAUCUAAAGCUAAAUAUUGGCGAGAGACCGAUAGCGAACAAGUACCGUGAGGGAAAGAUGAAAAGCACUUUGGAAAGAGAGUGAAACAGUACGUGAAAUUGUUGAAAGGGAAACGCUUGAAGUCAGUCGCGUCGACCGAGACUCAGCCUUGCCUUGGCUUGGUGUACUUCUCGGCCCGWCGGGCCWGCAUCAAUUUUGCCCCUUGGAUAAUGGCAAGGGAAAGGUGGCACCUUUGCAGGUGUGUUAUAGUCUCCUGUCGCAUGCGAGGGGUGAGAUUGAGGAACUCAGCACGCACCUUGGUGUUGGGGCUUUG
rnacentral:rRNA from 1 species